rnacentral:rRNA from 1 species
GAGGAAUAUUGGUCAAUGGACGGAAGUCUGAACCAGCCAAGUAGCGUGCAGGAUGACGGCCCUAUGGGUUGUAAACUGCUUUUGUAUGGGGAUAAAGUUAGGGACGUGUCCCUAUUUGCAGGUACCAUACGAAUAAGGACCGGCUAAUUCCGUACCAGCAGCCGCGGUAAUACGGAAGGUCCAGGCGUUAUCCGGAUUUAUUGGGUUUAAAGGGAGCGUAGGCUGGAGAUUAAGUGUGUUGUGAAAUGUAGACGCUCAACGUCUGAAUUGCAGCGCAUACUGGUUUCCUUGAGUACGCACAACGUUGGCGGAAUUCGUCGUGUAGCGGUGAAAUGCUUAGAUAUGACGAAGAACUCCGAUUGCGAAGGCAGCUGACGGGAGCGCAACUGACGCUUAAGCUCGAAGGUGCGGGUAUCAAACAGGAUUAGAUACCCUGGUAGUCCGCACAGUAAACGAUGGAUGCCCGCUGUUGGUACCUGGUAUCAGCGGCUAAGCGAAAGCAUUAAGCAUCCCACCUGGGGAGUACGCCGGCAACGGUG